UACGAAGGGGGCUAGCGUUGCUCGGAAUCACUGGGCGUAAAGCGCACGUAGGCGGCUUGUUAAGUCAGGGGUGAAAUCCUGGAGCUCAACUCCAGAACUGUCUUUGAUACUGGCGAGCUUGAGUCCGGGAGAGGUGAGUGGAACUGCGAGUGUAGAGGUGAAAUUCGUAGAUAUUCGCAAGAACACCAGUGGCGAAGGCGGCUCACUGGCCCGGUACUGACGCUGAGGUGCGAAAGCGUGGGGAGCAAACAGG
rnacentral:rRNA from 1 species